rnacentral:rRNA from 1 species
UACGUAGGGGGCAAGCGUUGUCCGGAUUUAUUGGGCGUAAAGAGCUCGUAGGCGGUUUGGUAAGUCUGGUGUGAAAUCUCCACGCUCAACGUGGAGGGGCCACCCGAUACUGCCAUGACUGGAGUCCGGUAGAGGAGGGCGGAAUUCCCGGUGUAGCGGUGAAAUGCGUAGAUAUCGGGAGGAACAUCAGUGGCGAAGGCGGCCCUCUGGUCCAGUACUGACACUCAAGUGCGAAAGCGUGGGGAGCAAACAGGG